AUAUUUUUUAUUAAAAUGUCCGUUUUUCAUCAUUUUUACUAUUUUUUCCUUUUUUAUACUUUUUUUUUUCCUUUUUUUAAUGCCUUUUCUUUUCUCUUCUUCUCUAUUUUCCUUCCUCUUCACUUUUUCCCCCUUUCUUUGCCCGUUUUUUUUUCAUUUAUUCGUUUUCCCCGUUCUGUUUUUAGCACAUUUUCCCUUUUUUAACGUUUCUCCUUUUUUCUUAAUUUUUUUCUUUUUUUCUCAUUUUCAAUUUUUUUCUCCUUUUUUCCUCCUUUUUCCCCCUUUUUUCCUCUUUUUUCCUCCUUCCUCCACUUUUUUCCUCCUUUUUUCCUCCUUUUUCCUCCUUUUUCCUCCUUUUUCCUCCUUUUUUCCUCCUUCCUCCACUUUUUUCCUCUUUUUUUCCUCUUUUUUCUCCAUUUCAUCCUCCUUUUUUCCUCUUUCUCCACUAUUUUCCUCCUUUUUUCCUCCUUUUUCCUCCUUUUUCCUCCUUUUUUCUCCUUUUUCCCCCUUUUUUCCUCCUUUUUUCCUCCUUUUUCCUCCUUUUUCCUCCUUUUUCAUCCUUCCUCCACCUUUUCUCCUCCCUUUCCCCCCCUUUUCCCCCUUUUUUCCCCUUUUUCCCCCUUUUUCCCCCCAUUUCACCUUUUUUUCCACCUUAUUUCCUCCUUUUUUCCUCCUUUUCCCCCCAUUAAUCCUUUUUUGACCAUCGCCAUCCCCAAAACUCAA
rnacentral:lncRNA from 1 species